CGGGGCUGGAGGACCUGGCGAGGCGGUUGGCCCUCCGACCAAUCAGAGUGAAUGAGAGGCGGGACUUGAUUAUACCACGUGAUCAUCCUCGCGGACAGCGCGGCUGUGCGGGCGGAGAGCUGUCGCACAACCAGAACUGGAUAGAGUAUUCCAGAAGAGGCCUCCCCAUCAUCUUGUACAUCCUCAACAUAACGUCCCAACUCCUGUACUCCAAGGUCUGAACAAUCAAGAUCCCAGUGAUUAAUGCCAAAGCCCUGUUGCCUGGGGAGAGGGUGAUGUUUGACUUUCUUGUACAGCUGCAGUUUGUGUGGUGAAGGUGCUCCCACAAUGUGGUUGGGAUGAGGCUAUCACUGGCUCGGCCAGCAUUUAUUGCUGCGUUUACCCAGAGGGCAGUUAAGAAUCAACCACGUUGCUAUAGGUCUGGAGUCCCAUGCAGACCAGACCAGAUCCCAAUGAUCAAUGCCAAAGCCCCAUUGCCUGUGGAGAGGGUGAUGUUUGACUUCCCUGUACAGCUACAGUUCGUGUGGUGAAAUUGCUCCCACAAUGUGGUUGGCAAAUUCACACUGUGUAUGUGAGGGUGAGAAUGAAUUAGUAAAUACAAAUACUCCAACCGAAACCCCUCACAGGUCAGGAACUGUUUCUGCUGCUGGCAUCACUCACAAGGAACAGAAAAAUAAUAAAGGAUUCAUCCCAAAUCUUACAGGAACAUAGAGAUUGUAAUUACCAGGAAAGGCUGAACAACUCAAGAAAAGAGGAGGCUGAGGGCCAACCUGUCAUAAGUAGGAAGCUUUGUUUUUAUGGGCUCAGAGAUUUGAGGUUGGAAUCAUUGGGUCUGGAGCAUGUUUCAUUGCCCCAGGUCAAAGGUGCUAUCUAAAUGUGUAUCUUUCUUUUGUCUUUCUUCUGAGUUAACAAUCAGAUGGACAGGUCAAUGUCUGAGUAUCUUACCAAAUCCCUCAUUAAAUCUGUCUCCCCCCACAAACUCAGGUGCCUCACCAUUCACUGGGUCACAGAGAAACUCUGCUGUUACAAUGUGAACUGUCUUUGCUGUCGCCUCUCCUCGUAGUUCUGCCUAAUCCCCACUUCCCUUCAUUAAAUCCCAGCUGCCUGUAGUCCAUCCACAUGGGAAUGUUGAAGAGCAUGGCAGGAAAAUGGAUUGAAAUCGAGAGUUCAAUAGCCAGAAUGAGAGAGGAA